rnacentral:rRNA from 1 species
UACGAGAGGCCCAAACGUUAUUCGGAUUUACUGGGCUUAAAGAGUUCGUAGGCGGCGCGGAAAGUAAGGUGUGAAAGCCCUCGGCUCAACCGAGGAAUUGCGCUCUAAACUACCCGUGCUCGAGGAAGCUAGAGGUGAGCGGAACUGAUGGUGGAGCGGUGAAAUGGCGUUGAUAUCAUCAGGAACACCGGAGGCGAAGGCGGCUCACUGGGGGCUUUUCUGGACGCUGAGGAACGGAAAGCCAGGGGAGCGAACGGGG